UAACGGUGUGCAAUUCAUAA
rnacentral:misc_RNA from 1 species